UAAAAGGCUCUUUUAAGAGCCACCCAAUGCAUCUUAAAGAGCACAU
rfam:Gasterosteus aculeatus cont1.001739, whole genome shotgun sequence.